AAGUUGACGGAAGGACUACAU
rnacentral:miRNA from 1 species